AGCAACAAAAAAGUCCUCCCUGGUGCUUAGUAAGGCCAAGGGGUUGUAUGCUGCCCAGGGUUUCAGGUGGAAAAGAAGUGUCCCCAUAAAGAGUCAGUGCCUGGGGACGAUGGAAAAUGAGGGAAUGUGGAAGAGUCUGGAGGUUUCACCCACUGGAAGCGGGGGCUGCAGAGAAAGAAUGCCAAGCCCCAGGAACUGAGCACAGUGUCUUGAAAUCACAACCCACCACAGCAGCCACCCCAGGUCCGGCACCGGAACUUCAGACAGGGGCAGCCGAAGUGGUCUGCAAGUCAGGGUUUGUGUGGCCAGAGAGAAAAGGAGGAGAAAUAGAAGCCACAAAGGGCAGAUCUGUAGGAGCCUACGAACACGGGACUGUCGACGUCCCCCAGGGAGGGACACUGGCUCAGGGGCCUGCGGGCAGGAGGAAAGCGGCCCCACUGCCCGGAAACUAGCCACGUUCUGUGGGAAUAGGAACAUCCAGAUUCAUGGCCCUCAAAGGACUCCAAGCAAGAUCAGCCCGAUGAGGGACGUCCUGAGACACGUCAUGAUCAAGGAGAAGCAGCACCGCAGGCAGGAAGGGGCUCCUCCGUCCGGGAACCGGGGGGCCGACGUGGCAGGUGGAGGGGGUGGGACAGCAUGUUCGAGUUCUGAAAGGAAAAAGUAACUGCCAAACAGGAAACAGCAAGCCCUACCUGGCCGAGCUGCUCCUCAGAAACGAACGAGAGAGAAAAUGUUCCCAGACAUGAGAUGGGGUGCCCCUCCCUGUGACUCCUGACUUACAAGGAAUCCCAAAUGCCGUUCUUCACACAGAAAUCACGCUGAGUGACAUGAAUCUACGUCACUAUCGACGCACAUACGUGGUCAGAGUCAGAGUGCGUCACGCAGCAGUGAAGGAACAUAGAAUAACUAGAGUGAAACAAGAACACUAGAGCUACGGUGUGUCCUCAGGGAAACACCAUUUUAUAAAAAAUAUAAAGUGACAUCGAUCGUAUAAAGGGUUGGGGUGGGGAGUGGACGUGUGGAGUUUUGCAUGCA
rnacentral:lncRNA from 1 species